GAUCCACCCAUCUUGGCCUCCCAAUGUGCAGGGAUUACAGGCAUAAGCCACAGAGCCCGGCCUACAUAUUGCUUAUUAUUCAUACUUAAAAGCGCAUGCCUGGGAAUCGGGGGCUGGAGAGGGCUGAAGGCUCCCCAAGCCACCUUCCCAAAUCCUACGUCUCAUCUGUGCCAUGAAAGGGGCAGGUUAGAUGUCAGCGUUUCCCACACUAGCCUGAGUGUAAGCAUCCACUGAGGGAACUUCCAAAUAAUACAGACUCCCAGAUCACGCUGAUUCCAGGAGGUCUGGGACGGGUGCAAGGAAUUUCAAGAAGUAACAUCAAGUUAUUCUUAUGCUCAGAGAAGGCUAAUAAAUUUGGGGCGAGGCCAAAAGGCGUUGGAAGCCAGUAGUUUGAAAGAAAAAUAGCUUUCCAAAGGCUUUCGCUUUGUAAAAACUAAAUGGUGCCUUUUGGAAUACAAUGUGAACAUAACUUUUCCAAGGAUUUAAGGUGUUGAUGAGAAAGACAUUCUGAGACCUGCCAGCAGAUGGAGCCAUAAAACAAGAAAUAGAUGUUUACAGCCUCAACUCGGGAGAAAAAUACCGUGAAUGCACCUUACACUAUAGAAGUAACACUUUUCCCUCUGCUUUAUUUUCUCUAUAUGCUAAACUCCUUACUUGCCUCUGCUAAAGAACAUCGCUGGAGUGUCUUGGUGUGUGAAGUAUGAAAUAGUUUCUAAAGACAUAAGUUGUGAUAUAGCAAGACAGAGGCAAAACCCCUCAUUCUUCUGAGAGUGUAAACAUCAUGUCGCAAGAAGCUCACCUAAAAUUUGAAAAGGAAAACUCAACGAAAAUUUGAAAAGAAAUUCAAGGAAAAAAAAAUGUGACCUUUAAAAUUUCCAUGUUGACAGCACCACCAGGACCCCUUCUGGGAUCCGUUGCUAGGGAACAGGAGGAUCGGCAUGGCGGAGCACGUUGGUCUGAGCACAUGUGAGGUGUUUAGAAAACUGCAAGUCAUCCAGCACGGGAGCAACGCCAGGCACAGGCAGGGGAGUCGUAGGGGAUGAUGCUGCAGAAGGGACAGACCGGGUUCUAGAAGUUGGCGAGCAAGGAAAUGUGAGCAUCUGGACUGCCGAACGCACCCUGUUAAGUGCUACUCAUGUCGUUCUGAUUGGGCUGAAUUGAAGAGCUGCCCAGCCUCUCCCCUGGCCCUGAGACCCCUGACCUAGAGGGACUAACUAGAGGGACGGCAUGGCAAUGGCAAGUGUACCCAAGACAGCAUGCCCGGAGGUUUAUCCAGGAAUAUUCAUCCAGAGGGAAAGAGCAAUGGACGAUGAGCAUGUUGGACCAGAUGGGCACGUGUCCAAGUGCACCCUAUGGAAUGUAUCAGCAUCGGCCUCGCCUGGAAGCCUGAUAGAAAUGCAGAUUCCCAGGCCCUGCCCAGGCCUGCUGUAUCCGGAUCUCUUGGUGGUGGAGCCCAGGGAUCUGCAUGUCACGAGCUUGCUCAGAGUAUCUGUGAACUGAGUUCAAUCCACAGCCCUCUACUCCAAUGCUAGCCAGACCCUGGGGCCAUUGCCUCUCCCCCCACAUGCCCCUCCAUACUGUCAGCACCUCUGCAUUGUGGCCUUUCUGCCACCCCCAACCGACUUGGGGAUCCCAACCACCCACACCCAGGGGCCUGCACCAGACUGCAGAGUGUUGCCUGAGGGGACACAGUCCACAGUCAUCCUUUUCUCCUCUCCUUCCCAGUUAAUUCCAUUUUCCACGCCUCUCAUGGCGAUUCCUGAUCUUCACAGGCCCCAGAGCCUCUGACCCUGGUGUUCCCCCUGAGAAAAUGAGGCCAGGGUUUGUGAGCUGCCCAUGCCACACCUGUGCCUGCCUCAUCAUGUGGAGUCCCUUUAGCUCAGCUCUAGGGUCCCCCUUCUUGCUUCCUCAAAGAUCCUCCUCUCUCCCAAGUUCCUCUUCUUCUUCUCAAUACUUCUCUCUUCUGGGGCUUCCUCCUUGACACGUCAAUGUUGUCUAGCUGUCUUCAUCAAUUUUCUUUAUUAUUUUAUUUGUAUAUAUUGUAUUUUAUUUUAAGACAGAGUCUUGCUGUGUCAGCCA
rnacentral:lncRNA from 1 species